rnacentral:rRNA from 1 species
CGCUAUCACUCCUACGGGGAGGCAGCAGUGAGGAAUAUUGGUCAAUGGUCGCAAGACUGAACCAGCCAUGCCGCGUGCAGGAAGACGGGUCCUAUGGAUUGUAAACUGCUUUAUACAGGAGAAACCCUCCACGUGUGGGAGCUUGACGGUACUGUAGGAAUAAGGAUCGGCUAACUCCGUGCCAGCAGCCGCGGUAAUACGGAGGAUCCAAGCGUUAUCCGGAAUCAUUGGGUUUAAAGGGUCCGUAGGCGGCCUUAUAAGUCAGUGGUGAAAGCCCAUCGCUCAACGAUGGAACUGCCAUUGAUACUGUAAGGCUUGAAUUAUUGUGAAGUAACUAGAAUAUGUAGUGUAGCGGUGAAAAUGCUUAGAUAUUACAUGGAAUACCAAUUGCGAAGGCAGGUUACUAACAAUGGAUUGACGCUGAUGGACGAAAGCGUGGGGAGCGAACAGGAUUAGAUACCCUGGUAG